rnacentral:lncRNA from 1 species
UUGAGAGCCCCCUUGAUAGUACAGCAAUCUAUCCUAAACAGAAAACCUAUCAAGGGCAAACCUAUACCUUGCACCUCGUCCUCUUGAGCUAGAUGAUGAUGAUCUUGGCUUCCUCAAGAUGGGCCACCUUUCUUGAUUGCGUUGUCUUGAUGAAGACUAGUUGAUUGCUCCCCCAUACUCACUAUGGGUGAGCCACUAUGAAGACUAGUUGAUUGCUCCCCCAUACUCACUAUGGGUGAGCCACUCUUCAGCAUAUCUUCACAAGUCCAUUGCCACCACAAUGGACGGCAAGCUUCAAGCAUGAUAUCUUCGUGCUGAUCCACUUGAACUUGCACAUCACAAUCUUGAUGACGAUCACAACUUGACGUCAUAC